rnacentral:rRNA from 1 species
UACGAAGGGGCUAGCGUUGUUCGGAAUCACUGGGCGUAAAGGGCGCGUAGGCGGCUUUGUAAGUCGGGGGUGAAAGCCUGUGGCUCAACCACAGAAUUGCCUUCGAUACUGCAUGGCUUGAGACCGGAAGAGGUAAGUGGAACUGCGAGUGUAGAGGUGAAAUUCGUAGAUAUUCGCAAGAACACCGGAGGCGAAGGCGGCUUGCUGGGCUUGGUC